GUAGAGAGUACAGAGCCCUGGACUGUGACUCAGAGGAUGAGCACCAGAUCCAGUUUGCUGUGCCACAGUGUGCUCCCUUUAUGGCAGUACAAUUGAAGAGGGACCCACAGUCUUGCUGAAGGAACAUGACCUUCCUACUGAAGUUGGGAUUACGGAAUAGAGGGAGAAGAGGAAAGAUGGAUGUUUAUCUGAAUGGUCGGAUCUUGUUUUCCAGAGGACACAGGCCAAUGGGAAACUUUUGGGAAGGAAGUCAAAAAAUCAAAGCCAGAACUGGGUUUUGGUAAUUUAAUCUCCCAAAGAGAGAAAAGUCCCCAUACUCUAAUUCAUAUUUUGUUUGACUUGACUGAAGCCCUUUUGAAUAUUUUUUCUGCUUCUGUUCUGUUCUUGCAAUAACAAUGACAUAAG
rnacentral:lncRNA from 10 species